rnacentral:misc_RNA from 1 species
AACGCACAUUGCGCCCCUUGGUAUUCCAUGGGGCAUGCCUGUUCGAGCGUCAUUUGUACCUUCAAGCUCUGCUUGGUGAUGGGUGUUUGUCCUAUCCUUUAGUGAUUGGACUCGCCUUAAAAUUAUUGGCAGCCGGCAUAUUGGCCUUUGGAGCGCAGCACAUUUUGCGAUCUAAGCCUGUAUACUGGUAUCCAUCAAGCCUAAUUUAUCACUUUUGACCUCGGAUCAGGUAGGGAUACCCGCUGAACUUAA